UACGGAGGGUGCAAGCGUUAUCCGGAUUCACUGGGUUUAAAGGGUGCGUAGGAGGGUAGGUAAGUCAGUGGUGAAAUCCCCGAGCUUAACUUGGGAACUGCCGUUGAUACUAUCUGUCUUGAAUAUUGUGGAGGUGAGCGGAAUAUGUCAUGUAGCGGUGAAAUGCUUAGAUAUGACAUAGAACACCGAUUGCGAAGGCAGCUAGCUAGACCGACAUUGACGCUGAGGCACGAAAGCGUGGGGAUCAAACAGG
rnacentral:rRNA from 1 species